GAUCAUGGCGUCAGGAUGAACGCUAGCGACAGGCCUAACACAUGCAAGUCAGGGGCAGCGCGGGAGAAGCUUGCUUUCCUGGCGGCGACCGGCGCACGGGUGCGUAACAGGUGUGCAAUCUGUCCAUAGUCGGGGGAUAGCCCAGCGAAAGCUGAAUUAAUACUCCAUGUGAAUCGAAGCCGCAUGACUUUGAUUUGAAACGCAAGGACUAUGGGUGAGCACGCUUCUGAUUAGGUAGUUGGUGGGGUAACGGCCCACCAAGCCGACGAUCAGUAGGGGUUCUGAGAGGAAGGUCCCCCCACAUUGGAACUGAGACACGGUCCAAACUCCUACGGGAGGCAGCAGUGAGGAAUAUUGGUCAAUGGGCGAGAGCCUGAACCAGCCAAGUCGCGUGAAGGAUGAAGGUUCUAUGGAUUGUAAACUUCUUUUGUCCGAGGGUAAAAAAGGCCACGUGUGGCUUCUUGCAAGUAUCGGACGAAUAAGCAUCGGCUAACUCCGUGCCAGCCGCUGC
rnacentral:rRNA from 1 species